GUAGUAACAGUCGGACAAGUGGGUAAUGUUGGGGUGAACCAAAAAAGUUUGGGUAGAGCCGGAUCUAAGUGUUGGCUAGGUAAAAGCCCCGUAAUAAGAGGGGUAGUUAUGAACCCUGUGGACCACCCCCAUGGGGGCGGUGAAGGGAAAGCUCCCAUUGGUAGAGAAAAACCCACAACCCCUUGGGGUUAUCCUGCGCUUGGAAGAAGAACUAGGAAAAGGAAAAAAUAUAGCGAUAGUUUUAUUCUUCGUCGCCGUAAGUAA
rnacentral:rRNA from 1 species